rnacentral:rRNA from 2 species
CAACAGGGAUUACCUCAGUAACGGCGAGUGAAGCGGUAACAGCUCAAAUUUGAAAUCUGGCUCUUUCAGGGUCCGAGUUGUAAUUUGUAGAAGCUGCUUUGGGUGCGGCCCCGGUCUAAGUUCCUUGGAACAGGACGUCAUAGAGGGUGAGAAUCCCGUAUGUGAUUGGGUGCCCGCGCCUGUGUAAAGCGCUUUCGACGAGUCGAGUUGUUUGGGAAUGCAGCUCAAAAUGGGUGGUAAAUUUCAUCUAAAGCUAAAUAUUGGCCAGAGACCGAUAGCGCACAAGUAGAGUGAUCGAAAGAUGAAAAGCACUUUGGAAAGAGAGUUAAACAGUACGUGAAAUUGUUGAAAGGGAAGCGCUUGCAACCAGACUUGCGCGCCGUUGAUCAUCCGGGGUUCUCCCCGGUGCACUCGGCGGCGCUCAGGCCAGCAUCGGUUUGGGUGGUGGGAUAAAGGCCGCGGGAACGUAGCUCCUCUCGGGGAGUGUUAUAGCCCGUGGUGCAAUGCCGCCUACCUGGACCGAGGACCGCGCUUCGGCUAGGAUGCUGGCGUAAUGGUUGUAAGCGACCCGUCUUGAAACACGGACCAAGGAGUCUAACAUCUAUGCGAGUAUUUGGGUGUCAAACCCAUAUGCGGAAUGAAAGUGAACGGAGGUGAGAACCCUUAAGGGUGCAUCAUCGACCGAUCCUGAUGUCUUCGGAUGGAUUUGAGUAAGAGCAUAGCUGUUGGGACCCGAAAGAUGGUGAACUAUGCCUAAAUAGGGUGAAGCCAGAGGAAACUCUGGUGGAGGCUCGCAGCGGUUCUGACGUGCAAAUCGAUCGUCAAAUUUGGGUAUAGGGGCGAAAGACUAAUCGAACCAU